rnacentral:rRNA from 1 species
UGUGAGAGGUGUGUGUAGGCAAAUCCGCACACUGAUACCUCAAGCUGUGAUGGGGAGGGAAAAUCAUAGUACCGAAGGUCAUGUACCCACGCUGCCAAGAAAAGCCUCUAGCCAGGAGAAGGUGCCCGUACCGCAAACCGACACAGGUGGGCGAGAUGAGAAUUCUAAGGCGCGCGGAAGAACUCUCGUUAAGGAACUCGGCAAAAUGACCCCGUAACUUCGGGAGAAGGGGUGCCCCGGUAGUGUGAAUAGCACGAGGGGGCCGCAGUGAAGAGGCCCAAGCGACUGUUUAGCAAAAACACAGGUCUGUGCGAAGCCGUAAGGCGAAGUAUACGGGCUGACGCCUGCCCGGUGCUGGAAGGUUAAGAGGAGUGGUUAGCCGCAAGGCGAAGCUAUGAAUUGAAGCCCCAGUAAACGGCGGCCGUAACUGUAACGGUCCUAAGGUAGCGAAAUUCCUUGUCAGGUAAAUUCUGACCCGCACGAAUGGCGUAACGACUUGGGCGCUGUCUCAGCGAGAGAUCCGGUGAAAUUUUAGUACCUGUGAAGAUGCAGGUUACCCGCGACGUGACGGAAAGACCCCAUGGAGCUUUACUGUAGCUUGAUAUUGAACUUUGGUACGGUCUGUACAGGAUAGGUGGGAGCCUUUGAAGCAGGAGCGCAAGCUUCUGUGGAGGCGCCGUUGGGAUACCACCCUGAUCGUAUCGGAGUUCUAACUCGCUGCCCUUAUCGGGCAGGAGGACCGUGUCAGGCGGACAGUUUGACUGGGGCGGUCGCCUCCUAAAAUGUAACGGAGGCGCUCUAAGGUUCCCUCAGCGCGGUUGGAAAUCGCGCGCAGAGUGCAAAGGCAUAAGGGAGCUUGACUGCGAGACCUACAAGUCGAGCAGGGACGAAAGUCGGACUUAGUGAUCCGGUGGUACCGAAUGGAAGGGCCAUCGCUCAACGGAUAAAAGCUACCCUGGGGAUAACAGGCUUAUCUCCCCCAAGAGUCCACAUCGACGGGGAGGUUUGGCACCUCGAUGUCGGCUCAUCGCAUCCUGGGGCUGAAGUAGGUCCCAAGGGUUGGGCUGUUCGCCCAUUAAAGCGGUACGCGAGCUGGGUUCAGAACGUCGUGAGACAGUUCGGUCCCUAUCUGUCGCGGGCGUAGGAAAUUUGAGAGGGGCUGUCCUUAGUACGAGAGGACCGGGAUGGACGCACCGCUGGUGUACCAGUUGUUCCGCCAGGAGCAUCGCUGGGUAGCCAAGUGCGGAAGGGAUAAGCGCUGAAAGCAUCUAAGCGCGAAGCCUGCCUCAAGAUGAGAUUUCCCAAUUCGUAAGACCCCUGGAAGAACACCAGGUUGAUAGGCUCGGGGUGGAAGCGCGGUAACGUGUGCAGCUGACGAGUACUAAUCGGUCGAGGGCUUAUCCUA